rnacentral:rRNA from 1 species
GAUGAACGCUGACAGAAUGCUUAACACAUGCAAGUCAACUUGAACUUCGGUUUGGGUGGCGGACGGGUGAGUAACGCGUAAAGAACUUGCCUCACAGCUAGGGACAACAUUUGGAAACGAAUGCUAAUACCUGAUAUUAUGAUUAUAUGGCAUCGUAUAAUUAUGAAAGCUAUCUGCGCUGUGAGAGAGCUUUGCGUCCCAUUAGCUAGUUGGAGAGGUAACAGCUCACCAAGGCGAUGAUGGGUAGCCGGCCUGAGAGGGUGAUCGGCCACAAGGGGACUGAGACACGGCCCUUACGCCUACGGGAGGCAGCAGUGGGGAAUAUUGGAAGAUGGACCGAGAGUCUGAUCCAGCAAUUCUGUGUGCACGAUGAAGUUUUUCGGAAUGUAAAGUGCUUUCAGUUGGGAAGAAAAAAAUGACGGUACCAACAGAAAAAGUGACGGCUAAAUACGUG